UACGAAGGGUGCAAACGUUGCUCGGAAUUAUUGGGCGUAAAGCGCACGUAGGCGGCUUAGCAAGUCGGAAGUGAAAGCCCUCGGCUCAACCAAGGAAGUGCUUUCGAAACUGCUGAGCUUGAGUAGUUAAGAGGAUCGCGGAAUUCCCGGUGUAGAGGUGAAAUUCGUAGAUAUCGGAAGGAACACCUGUGGCGAAAGCGGCUCACUGGACCAUUACUGACGCUGAUGCACGAAAGCUAGGGGAGCAAACAGGA
rnacentral:rRNA from 1 species